rnacentral:tRNA from 1 species
GCCUGGGUGGCUCAUUCGGUUAAGCAUCCGACUUCGGCUCAGGUCAUGAUCUCACAGUUCGUGGGUUCAAGCCCCACACCAAGCC